GUCCGCAGAGGACGCGGAUGGCCAUGCACCGGAUCCUGGGCGCGGGCCUGGCUCUACGUCUCCUGCGGGUGGCGGGGCGGCGGGGCCGGGGCUGCCCGGCGCGCCUGCUGCCGGGUCCGGCGGGAGGCCGAGCGCCCGCGGCGGACGUGCCGCCGUGCCGAGAGGCGCCGCGAGGCCUGGGCCCGGGCCUGCUGCCGCUGCUGGCAGCGCUCGCCUGGUCCUCGAGGCCCGCCCCGGCGGAGCAGGAGCAGGAGCGGGAGCGGCAGGGCGCGGGCGCGGGCGGGGCGGCGGCCGGGGACGCCGAGGCCGAGAUCAUCCAGCUGCUGAAGCGAGCCAAGUUGUGCAUCAUGAAAGAUGAGCCAGCAGAGGCAGAGCUAAUUUUGCAUGAUGCUCUUCGUCUUGCCUAUAAGAGUGAUAACAAGAAGGCCAUCACUUACACUUACGAUUUGAUGGCCAACUUAGCAUUUAUACGGGGUCAGCUUGAAAAUGCGGAAAAACUUUUUAAAGCAACAAUGAGUUACCUGCUUGGAGGGGGCAUGCAACAGGAAGACAAUGCAAUAAUAGAAAUCUCUGUAAAGCUGGCCACUAUUUAUGCUGCUCAGAAUAGACAGGAGCUGGCUCUUGCUGGUUAUGAAUUCUGCAUUUCAACUCUAGAGGAAAAAAUUGAGAGAGAAAAGGAAUUAUCAGAAGACACUUUGUCAGUGGAAGAGAAAGCCAACACCCACCUCCUCUUGGGCAUGUGCCUAGAGACCUAUGCCCGCUACCUUCUGUUCUCCAAGCAGCCAUCACAGGCACAAAGGAUGUAUGAAAAAGCUUUGCAGAUUGCUGAAGAAAUACUAGGAGAAAGACACCCCCAGACCAUCGUGCUGCUGAGUGACCUGGCCACCACCCUGGAUGCGCAGGGCCGCUCCGACGAGGCCUGUGUUCACGCACAGAGGGCGUCAGACCUGGCGAGACAGGUGGAGCACCCUGAGCUCCACGUGCUGCUCAGUAAUCUGGCUGCGGUCCUGAUGCACAGAGAACGAUAUGCACAAGCAGAAGAGAUCUACCAGGAAGCACUGAAGCGAGCAAAGCUGAAAAGAGAUGAGGUUUCUGUGCAGCGCAUCAGGGAAGAGCUGGCUGGGCUGUCAAGAAAAAGGAGACCUUUGUCGUAGCCUUGCCGAGCUCUGGACCCCUUUCUGUUAUAGCGAAUUUAUGGUAACACCUCUCAUUCCAGUCCCAGUGGCACCCUGAUCAAUGGCUUAAAUCCUCUGUCCUUGAUACUCAAGUCCCCUCAACUUAGCCUUGCUGGAGGACAGGCUGUACACACUGUGUGCACUGCCGCGUUUGCUUUGCGAAGAAAGCUCCCCCCCCCCACCUGAUUUUGCUUCUGCGACUGGUGUCGGUUAAUGCUUUCCGUUGCAGCAGACGGCUGGUUAGGUGCUGUCCAUGCUGGCCCGAGCAUAACUCUAGAUUAAGAGGGGCCAGUUUCCCUCUGGGGUGGGGUCUGGCAUUUCAGCCAGGCGUCUCUCCCAUAAGAUUUUUGUCCACUGAUUUGCUGCCUUCUCUUAUCAACACCUGGCAGACCAGAGCUACCGGUCUCAUGGCAAAGGGGGAUGACGGUUUUACUGAGAAUUUCUGACCCUCCUCGUUGAUGCGGCUCCCGGUCCCGGAACACCUGCGGGAGUUUUCAGACAGCUCCUCUGCACGCGGCGCGGUCACUACAGUUCACUGCACUGAGGCAGCGAAACGAGGAGGACUGGCCUGCCACUGACGGGGCUGAAUCCAAAGGUGAACUGUUCACAGUAGUAUAAAAACUUGAACUAUCUCACUGGAGCUUUCAGGGCAUGGAUAUUUUAAGAUAGAAUCACCCAGCACACCCACAUUCAAGCACUACGAAUCUUCUCAUCAUGAACGUGCGGUGGACACUGGCUGGCUGUCACAGUUCUGUGAACUGUAACUUCGUUCUGGGUGCUAAAAAAUAGUCACUUGCCAGGCUGUAGCUUCAGAACCCUGGGGUCUCAGCCCGCAGCAUCCCGCCUCGGUUCACAGCUGACUUGGCCAAGUCACGUCACGCCGGGUGGGCCUCCACCUCCCACACGGUCUGCCUGCUCCGCAGGCCAGCACUCCGUCCUGCCCUUGUUCUGAACCGAGGCGGGACCGUGGGUUUUGUCUCCCGUUGUGGGAUCUCUUCUCCAGGUGACGGCAGGUGAAGUAAAACAACUUGCACUGUGAUGAGGAGGGGUGAGUGGUCAACAGCCGCCCCCUUUGGGUCCUGAGUGGAGCUGCACAGGUUACGCACAGGGCUCUGAUCUGACGUGUUCUCAAGAACUAGUCAUAGAAAAAUACCAGCAUCAUCUCUUUGGGACUGUUGACAAAUAAUUAAAAUCUAAAAUGUUACUAGUACCUAAACAAAACUUUAAGCAAAAACCUUAAGUUACUGUUUUUCAUUCACAUUAAAACUUUUAAAGUAUUUAUAAAGUCGUACCAGCUUUCCGAGUAGUAGGGAUUUGACCACUACACCUGAUCUAAAGCUUACUUGGAGGACCCCAAGCAUACGCAGGUGCGCAGUUCCCUUAGCUUCAGACAGGUGUCGGUCUGUGGCCCUGUCUUCGUUGCUUAUUUAACUGUGGGCAACGUACUGAACCUGCAUCCACAUCGAUAAAAAGGGGACUAGACACCAAGGUCCCCUCCACUACAGAGGAGGCGCUUAGUCAGUGGUUGUCGGACACCUGCUGUCUUUAGAGGCUUGAGUACUUUUGCUUAAAAGCUCAGGUCUACUUAAGAGUCUAUAAAGUGCUAGUUUUUAUCUUUCUGAGAGACCUCUAUCUCGGUGGCAUUCCCCCAAAACCAUUAGCAUCCGUGUGCUACAGAAGGAUGCUUCAAUGCUAUGUUAAAGUUGUAUGAAAAAAAGUUUUUAAUUCAACAAGCAAUUAUUAUUGAAGGGUAAGACUGAUCCUCUAGUACCAUAAUGGGUUUAAAAUUCAGUCUUUUAAGUUAUUUGCUUCUUGAGAUUCAGUGAAAUAAAAACACCUGACGAACUCUUGCCCACAAGGAAUCAAAGUGAAAGUAAGCACAGGGUGGCACGAAGGGGAAAGGACUGGCUGCUCCCCACGAGAGCUCAGGUUAUGCGGCACGAAGCAAACCUAAAACACUGAGGUUCUGCACAGACUGUAACCUUCUGACUCUCAACCAAUAAUAGCUAUCAAACUAAAGGAAAGUGUAAGUUUUUCCUUUGAAACCUGAGACAGCGAAAGGCUCACAUCACAAGUACUCUACUGUAGCUAGUGGACAGGGCGGUCAGAUUUAUUUCAGAACAAAAGCUUUGCUGGGCUGCAUCAAAUGCAGGAGAGGAGGAGUGCUUGGGUGUGGUUAAUUACCAGUGUGCAUAACAGUGAGGUAUGCCUCAAAUAAGCCUUUAAAACCUUAAAAACUGAACUAUAACAAUACCCAUGCAGUACUAUUUUUUCAGUGCUUCUAAUUAAAAAAAUUAAAGCCUGCACUGGAAAUUUACAGUAUGGCAGAAUUUUGUUUCUCCUUUUGACCCUAAUACGUUAACGUACAGAUUUUAUGACAGGGUCUGUGUUAAAAAUCUAAACAUUUAUCACAAGAUUUUAAACAUCACUGGGAAUCUGAGUUUGGAGGAAACAAAAUUGGAUAAAAGUACAAUGCCCGUGACAGCCAAUAUUGUAUAACUGGGCUGUAUGAGGUUGUUUAGAAGGCAAAGGUUAAAAAGACGAGAUUUUUAAAAAUUACCCCCAGAGCUGAUGCGCUGAUUUGAAUAUAAGUACACGAGAUACUAGAGCGAGGGGAAACACUGCAAAAAGGCCAUCUAUUUACAGAAGAGUGAUUGAAAGACAUGAUGAUUUUCUUUACAAACAGAUGUAAGGACAGGAAUUAUCCACUUUUUAAAAACUCUACAUUGCAACCCUCCACUAUUAUUAUGAUCCACUGAACUGCCUGUAUCAGGGCAGCCUUUUCCCCUCAUUUGACUCUUGAAAUAAACUUCCAUCAUUUCGUCGUCUGUGGCCCAGGCUCUCCUGAAAAGUCUCUGGGCACAAGUCCUAGGAGGGCAGGCUUUUGGCCUGCACUUAAAACUGAGACCACCAGAAACUAGAGCCCCUCCCCCACCCAGGGGGCCCCGGGACCCCUUCCCGCAGGUCAGUCGCUGUCGGACAGCGUCUCAUACUGCGCGGAGAGCAGCGGGGCCGGCUCCCGAUCCCAGAUCCUGCUCGGCUGGUGAGGGGCGGCGGGGCUGGCAGAGGCGGGCGCACAGGCGACGGGCGCACAGGCGACGGGCGCAGGGGGCGUGCUGCUGAGCAUCCGCAUGGUCAGGGGGUUGUAGGGGAACUGUGUCGAGCCUGCGGGAGGAGGAGGGUUAGGUUAUGCGCGUUCCGCUUCUGUUCUGGGCAGUGGAACCCCCUAGCGAGGCUGUGAUAUGGAAGCGGUGUUCGAAGCAGCGCUAACCGAGGCACUGACGUCGGCUGCUUUCGGACUCCCAGCAGCUCCUUACCUGUGGAGGAAGGCCUGUCCUCCCAGGCCCAGCCUGGCGUCUGCCUGUGGUAGUCCCCUUCCGAGUGCACAGAGGAGGCCGAGGAGGGCCGUUCAGCUCCCAAGUAGCCUUGCCCCGGGAUGGGAGAUUUCGACUUCCUGCUGUUUGACUUGCUGAUCAGCUUUGGUUUGCAAACUCCUCCUAAAAGUGAAAUAAAUUAUUACUGCUGAUAUUUAGUAAUUAUGUUCUCAACUUUAAAAUCUACCAAAAUGCCGAUGAUUGUCUAAUGCUAAGUGAAGGAAGCAAAGUGGUAGCAUGAAGAAUCCAAACCCUAGUGCCUAAUGAAGUAAAGAAGUAACAUUUAAAAGAAAGCCAGAAUUUACUUAACAGCAGCUAAAGUCAAAACGGGGUAUGUCCUCAUGCCAUAAACUCAGAAACGUGUAAUCAAGGAACUAGCAUUUCUGGAACAUCAUUUCUUUCUUGGCCUUGGAGCACAGAAACUGCUUAAGGAAAUGGAAGCUGGCUGACAAAAAUCUUAAAUCCUCAUUUUUUCCUCCCCCACCAGUUUACAGAGGAGGAAUAAAACUGUAGAACAGAAGCCCCUUCAGGGCACUACUGGACCUCAGCAGAGCCUGACAAGUCAAGGUGGCCCUUUCUGCUGCUCCAGGCUGUACAGCUGAUGAACUCAGCAGGAGUUCACAGGAGUGGGAAGCCCCAAGUGGGCUCUAGAACAAAACGUGAAAAAGAUCUCAGAAGAGAUCAGAGUCCAGGUCACCAGCAAAUGUUUUCCUCAGCCCUAGCAGAACAGUCUCACCCUGCCCCCAGUCCUUCGAGGUACAGAAAAAAGGAACAGAAAGCAACUUUGACCCCUCCAACUAUCUGGAAAAAGAAGAAAUGCAAAUCCUUGGUGAUAAGGAAAAGAAUAUAAUAAAGAAAUGGGCGGGGGAAGGGGCAGGGAACGUGAUUCAAACACUGGAGAAAACUUCGGAAUACAUGAAGCCAGUUUAAGAAAAGCUCAAAGAAUAGAUAACCAAAAUGAAAGGGGCGAAAGGGCUUAGGAAACAAAAGACAGAACAGCAAGGGUCAGAAUAGACACGAGGGAAAGGGAAUUAUUAGUGCAAAGGAAAAAUUUGAGAGACUCGCAGUAAAAGCAACAGAAAAAGAUCAAGAUGACUAAAAUAAUUAGAAGGUUAACAGAUACAGAGGUCAAAAACUAUCCAGCAAAAAGGUAACUUUCUGAAAUGGAGGGCCCAAAAGAAAGAAAAUAACUAAGAGGAACAGUUGGUAGAACAUUUCCCUGAAUGCAGGUAUCAACCUGAAGGGGCAACACCCUCCUGUGAGCAACAGGGUGAGGAGCACUAACACACUCAUGAUAAAUUUACUGAAAUCGAGGUAAAAAAAGGAUUCUUUGGGCAGAGAGUCACCACCAAAAAAAGGUGGUGGUGGGGGAGACAUCUGGUCUUAUUUUUUAUACAACAACGAAUGCCAGAAAAAAGCCUAACAGUGUCUACGGGAUAUUUUGAGAAAAGUACGUGCUGAGUAUCACAACCUGCCAAACUGCCGUCUCAAACAUAAAGGCAGCAAGAAGACACUGUCGAGCACGCACCUCAGGAUACAGCAGCCUUUCGGAGAAAACAGGGUGUGAAAACCUUACCAGAAAGAAACGCCAUAAUAGAAAGAUUAUGUAACCAGGAUAACUGUAACUGUGUAAGUCACCAAUACUACAACCUUAAAACACACACACUUAAAAUCAAUAAAAAUCGGAAGGUUAGAGCAGAGAUGGGAGACAGUGGCUCAUCUUUUAGAGCAGGAAGUAAAUUCAUAUUGUCCUAAAAUUAACAUAUAUAUGUAAAAAUAAAUAACUAAAGCCCCUAAUCUCUUUAUCUUUUUCUUAACCUUAGUGAGAUCGUCUGUUUGACCAUAACAGGAAAAUAAACUAAACUUGAAAUGUUACUAACCUUCAGGUAGUUUUUAAGGUAUAAAGGAUUAAGAAGAAAGCUUAUAUAUACACAUAGAAAGAGCAGAGUCCUGGUUCUUGUGUGCUUGCUUCUAACAGGAUGCAUACAAUUACCUCAUUCCAAUAAGCUGUCCUUUUAUGUAAACACCACCACUAGCUUUCUGGACGAUGUGAUCUGGUUUUUUUCCCUCUUUUCUGUGGCUUAAAAUUCUUUUAUACUGAGCCUGUCAUUUUUAUUACAAUACUAAGUUACUUUGAUUCAAGAGCAGAAUAUGAAAUUGCACUUGUAUUACAAUGUAUGUAUACAGAUAAGGACUAGAUGCAAGCAAAAAGGGUGACUUUCUGGGUAAAAAUUUUCAUCCUUUUAAAUUUCACAUUACUAAUAUGUCUGAGCAGGUUAGAAAAAAGACUUCGUUUAAGUAACUAAAACCUUCAGAGGUGACUCAGCACAUAAAUGAAAUCUUAGUGAUCCGUUAGAACUUGGGGUAUAAAUUGGCUUUUUCUUGGGAAAGGCGGCAGAAGAGCAUGGAAAUGAGCCCUUUACCUGAAUGAGGUGACGGGUCCCCUUCCUCUCUCCGGGCCUCACCGCUGGUCGCCACCGAGGUGCCGGCACCACCAGGCACCCCCCCCAGGGGCUGGGGCAUGGCGACCCCGUGGUCCUCCACUUUGUCUUCAAAGCUCCCCAUGAGCGCCUUCCGGAUGAUGUCCUCCAGCCCGAGGUUGCUGGCAGGGUCAGCAAAGGAAUGACCUCGGGAGCUCACGGAGCCUGCAAAAGACGAGCAGGACGAGUCUGCCUGAUUCCGAGGGCAGGUCGGGAGACAGGAGCCCCCCCAGGACACGCAGCACCUGGCAAGGUGCCCACAACACAGAGCCCACGUGGAGGCCGGCUAACUAAGGCCAGCGAGCGUAGCUCACAGGCAAUGUGGUUUUCUUUGUUAAAUCAGGCACCCAACUUGUGUGAGAGUUGCUCGAGGAUGGCUUCCUUCUCUUUUUAGCUCUUUAAUAGUUUUGACUCUCUUUCUUCAUUUAUCUUUUCAACAAGUACUCACUGAAUCUCAACUCAUUAUUUACCGCCAUUGACUCCCUCCCUCCCUGACUAAACGAUGAGCUUUCCUGGAGCAGUUUCCUGUAUGCAGUCGGUAUUCGAUACCUAUUUGCUGGACUGACUGCUACUGUACCAGUUUCCUGUUGGCAAACAAUGUCUUUUGAAUCUUACCUGAGGUGGUGACUGCUGGCAGGUUAAAGAUCUCAGUUCCUGGCUGAGCAGCUGCUGUAUUUAAACAAACAUUCAAGUUAAUUGAGAUGUGAUAAUCACAUACAUCGAAAGAGAUAAAGUCUCAAAAAAAAAUCCUACAAUAAAAUUAAGCUUCUUAUUUUCCAUGAUCUCAACUUUAUUUUUCACCCAUUAAGUGAAGAUAAAGUGAAAGAAAUUUUUUUUUUUUUAAGAAAUCAGAAAGUAAGAAAUCAAAACAGGAGGAGUACUAUAAUAAUAUAGCCCAGGAAGGAAAGGAACUUUUGCAGUGCUGGAGAAAACACACAGAGGGAAAAGCUGCCCUCAGAACAGGAACCCAGGCUAGCCGGGGAAGAGAUGGUGACUCUAAGAAGACCCUGCAAAUAUCCGAGUUUGAGAUUAGAUCCGGGGGAAAGACGCCCCGUGAACGGCAAGAACAUGACCGCGUGUGUCCCUGCUGUGGUUACCUAGAAACUAUUUUUGAUCCCAGGAUGAGAUAAAGAUUCUGCCUAUUGGUUCUGUUUAUUCCUGCUAACUGUGCACUUUGUCAUUUGCUCAGUUUGAAUGACAACAGCUGGGACAACCUGGGAGCUACUUGUAAAGCACUGUGCCAGAAAUAGAAGGAAUUUGGGAACAUAAACGGUGUUUUCAUCACGUCUCCCAACUCGAUUUUGAGACUUUGAAAGAGAAAGAACGUAGGAAGUAAAGUCGGUGGCUAUAAACAAGCGGUGGCCCAGAGAAGAAUGUGCAGACCCCAGAAGGGGGGCCCGUCCAUGCAGAUGGGGAGCACAUAUGAGCCCAGACGCUGACUUCUGGGAUCAGGGAAAACUGUCCGGGCGGGAGAAGGAAGCUCCAGGAAGACUGCACAGCAGGGACCAUGCGGUACAGGCUCCUCACGUACAGGUCAGGAAAUGGUAGAUGAACGGAACUUGAAACAGCACAGGGUGGUAGGGCCAGCCUGGUAGUUACCACAAAACCUGGGGAAUAGGACUCAUUCAUUUCACAAAUAUUUACUGAGCGAUUAUUUGGCUGAAUAAUAAAAUCACCUUCAUAUUGAUCAAAAAUGGUCAUAUGAAAAAAAAAUGGUCACAUGAAGACAAUUUCAUAUUGUUCAACCAACGAUAACACUAAGGUACUGGACUUAAAAUGCACCCCUUCCUCCACCUGUGGAGCUCACAGGUCAGCGGGGUGCUCUCUGAGGCCAUCAGGUCUGAAUCACCUGGGGGGCUUAGUAAAGUGCCGGUUUCUGAGAUUCCUGCAGCCCAGUAGGCACGUGUUUUAACAAGCCCUCCAGGUGACUGUGACGGGUAGUGACGUUUGAGGGCCCCUGGUGUAAGACAGAUGGGCAGACUUACGAGAGGACACGGUAAUUACUCAGAAAUGAGGGAAAGGCAGACAGGCACUCAGGAGACGUUGAGGCUGACGGGACAGCACCCGGGAAAGCGAGUUGCGGAGCCUCGUGAGGGAACCGUGGAGCGGGGUGGCGGGGGGGCAGGAACAGAGGCCUCUGUGUGGAGAGCCAGCGUGGGGAGUCAUUUUAGACAUUUAAGGAGCCAGUAAGACGUUCAAGAAGCAAUGAGGGCAGCAAAGAGCUUAGCAGAAAAAGCUGAACUCGAGGUACAAGUUUGGGAGUUUUUGGCACAUAGUGCAAACCGCCAGAGUGGAUGAAACGCCUCCGAGAAUACGGUGCAAGAGGAGAGACUGAAAACCAGCACCCAAGAGCCAGGCACAGCAGGACGUAGCUUCUAAGGACACAUAAGAAAUGGUCAAAGAAGUAGAGAAAAGAACAGGAGAAAGCAGUCCCUGAAAGCCAAGAGGAGAAAGUAUUUCCGGAAGAGGGAAGUGGGUCACUAAUGUCAACGGCAGAGAGAUCAGAUAAAGUAAGUUUUAAAGCAUGAAGUUUUUUGCGCAGUAAAGGCACUGAUGUCCUCGGUGGGAGCCCUGAGGUGAAUUGAAGCUGUCUUGCUUGCCCAGGGCUUGGAUUUCUCGGUUCUACUUCCUGGUGAGAACCCAAUGUGCCUGGGGUCCCACGAGCCCACUGGUUCCUUAGUACAACCCCUUAAUUGUCCCUUUCCACAAUCAGAAAUCCCAAACUAAAGCAAAUUUUGUUAGUACUUUGCCUUACGACAUUAAUAAAAUUUAUCUUCUGUUAAAGUUAGAUACUUGUUUCAUUAUACAUUUUCACAGAGUAGAGACCAUCUGUCAUUCUAAAAGCACCCAACAGAGCACCCUGCUCGAUAAAUGAUUAUUGAAUUAAUGAAUGACCGGGCUACUGCCUAAGGACAAUGGAAAACAUUAGAAGAGAGAAGAAAACUAUAAAGUAGGCUUCUUCAAUUCAUACAUAGCAUUUUCCUAUCAAGAAGAAUUUCUUCGUCAAGAAGAAAGAAAGAAUAUCUGUAAGCCUGAGGGCAACUCUGGUCAGCCUUCUAAAGUAUUUCUUUUGGACAAUUUGUUGCCAUUUAAAAAGUGAAUCUAGUAAUCAAGAGCUAGGAUAACUACACAAACAAGUGACACUGCUCCUCUUUUUUUCCCUGGGACAUUUGGCCUUUAUUAAUCACGAAGUGUCACAGAUCCAAACACACGUCCACCUGGCAGUUUAGAGCAGGUAGCCCAGAAGUAAAGCAGACUGUAGGAGGCCUGGAUUCUACAGGGCAUCCCACACAGCUUCUGCGUCACUGGAUACACGUGAGGAAAGGACCACGAGUAAGCCUGGGUGAUGGCACGAGUGCUGAAAACAGCGGGCACGUGCAUGUCCACCCUAAGGAAAGGCUUGGAUGCCCCAGAGCUCUAUCCCAGUGGACAUUUGCCAGCGGCCUGGGUGAGGAUGCCGAGUGCAGAACUACUGGAAGCAUGGGCUCUGGCGCUGGAAUUCCUGAGUCUGAACCACAGCCCAAGUCACUAGUUAUGUAACUUGCAACAGCUAGGAAACCCGAGUCUCAGCUUCCUCAUCUGCAAAGCGGAGAUGAUUCCAGCACGUGGUGUGCAGGGUUUGUUAUGAAGAUUACAGGAGUCUGCAUAUUCCCGCUUAGAACGGAGCCUGGAGCACUGCAGUGCUGCACGUGGAGCUGCGGCGGCUGCUGCUCCUGGUGCCAGCACCGUCCUAGGUGGCGGGUCUAGCAGAUUCGCACGCCACCCACAAAGACACCGGCAGGGCAGAAAAGGAGCCAGCACAGAGGGCCUCGUCCCAUGCUUGGCGGGAGGGACACAGAAGGACAGCAAGGGGAGGCUCAAGGGCAGCUCAUCUCAGGAGGCCUGGUAUCUGUACCGACAUUAAGUGCAUUGGAACUUAACAGCACAGACCCCCUUAAAAUGAUGUCAAAAAGACCCCCUUAAAAUGAUGAAUGUGGUGUGGGUCCUACCACAGUACUCAGAACCUACUGAAAGGCUGAGCCGAAUAAAGCGUUUUUUGUGAAGAACACCUGGGCCGGCAGGAGUGCUCGGAACCAGGCCCCCUGAUGGACAGCCACUGGAACUGGGGUGCGUGUAAAGAAAAAACUGGAAGGGCAUGACCUGUCCGCAGACAGCUGAGACGGCCCGCACGGAGGAAGCGCAGACCAGGGCAGAAAACACUGGAGGGCUAAUCCCACCCCACGUGAGAAACAAACGUCCCAGACCCGGCACUUGUUCCAAGAGAACAUGGAGGGCUGCAGAAAGAGGCAGGUGCUUGCUCCCUAACAGGAAACCCUCUCGUGCCCACAGACAUUUGGGAAGCAGCUUCAGGAUCUGCUGUGUUUGGACAGAUGCCUGUAAGAGCCUUCGAACUCAAGGAUUACACGAGAGGCAACACUGGAGAUACCAUUAUUAAUGCGUAUUUUAUUGGGGUUCAUGAAAGAAAUCCCACUUACCCAUAUCAGAGUCACCUCCACCAGAGGAGUUCAACUUACGAAAGAUCUCCUGCUUCUUUGAUUUAACCAUGGGUGAGGUGUUUUCCAGCUUGGUGAAGAAUGAAGGCAAGUAGCUUAUACUCCCUGGUGAUCGGGAAUCAUUCCUGUCAGGGACAGUUACGCGUGUUACCAUCAUGCACUCCUACCCCGCCCAUGCUAGUACCAGUCCCAGGGUCCCUUCCCAUCUGUUUGUGCUGACAGCCUAAGGACAGUGUGUGACCAAAAGCCAGCGAGGACAUCACAUCUGAGGACACAAAGAUGACAUCAGAAAAUGAGGACUGGAAUAGAGAGAAUCUAGAACCAAGAUUCUUAACAAAGAGUGAAUGGACGUUAAUGGGAACACUCGUCACGAUUCUGUCUGUUCAACAGCACAGGCACUGAUAUAUUUAGGGUUACUAUGUAAGCUGGGAACUGUUUUACUAGCAGAAUUACUUUGAAGCACAAUAAAAGUGUAACUACUAGCACACCUGCCUAUAAAAUAGCAAGCACUCACACCUAAGCAACAAUUAGACUUGAACAGAAUAGCUACAAUGUAGAAAAAAUUACCUAUUUUAUUAGAAUCUUUUCAAGCCUGCGACCAGUUGAGCUGAGUUUCGCAUAAAGACUUCCUUUCAUAUUUCAUUGGCAGCUUCCUAUACUAACACAUUUAGAAAAACAAGUUUCCUCUACCAGUGCAGGACUACCAGGAUCUAACUAGUGCCAGAGACAGUAACAGAGAACAUAUGGAAAGGUGCUGAUAAUUUAAUCUGGUCCAUCACUCGAACAUAAGAACACCUACUGUAUCCAAGGAAGACAAAGAAGAAUGACUAAGACGUGGUCUUCGUCCUCAGAAAACUCACAAGCUUAGGGGAAACAUGUAAACGUAUAAUUAAAUUUAACAUCAUUCCCUUUCCAAAAAUGGAUUUCGUCCUCAUUUCCUUGAAAGGUACCAACCUCUAUUUGGUGGCCUAUUAAUAUAUACAGUAAGUAAAUAACUAUGACACACUGUUAAGAAAUGCACUAACGGUUUGGAGUGAGGCAGACCUUGGUCUAAAGCUGGACUCCCUCUCACUUUAUUUGAUCAGAGCAUCAGGGGAGGGUGUUCCACACCAAGAAAGCAGCACGAGUUCAGGUGAGGGAACUCAGGGCUCAGGGAGGGAAGCGUGAGGGUGGAGCAGCAGCAAGUGGGGUGAGGAGCGUGAGCCUGGCCACAAAGAGAUUCCAUGCCACGCUCGUGACCAAGCAAGUGCUGGAGUCCACUUGAGUUCUAGACAGAUCGCUGGUGCAAGUGGACCAGGCAGGGGCCAAGUCAAAGGCGUCUAAAAAACCAAAUGGGAAUAAGAAUCCAAUAAUUCCUAGGGUUGGGUUAGGGUCAGAAACUGCGAAGAGAACACACGGCAAGCAGCCCAGCCCAGGGGCUCACUGUGACCCCCUUCCACUCACAGCCCAGACGCUGGGUGCCCAGCAAGCACUCAAGUGGGGUUCAGCAACCACACAGACAGAAAGAUUUUAAAAAUAAGAUCUAGGACGACUUAACUUCGAGAAGAAUAAUGAACAACUAUGUUCUAUGACCUAUUUAAAUAUUACAAUUUUUUCAUUAAAAUCCACUGGCAUUAGGUCACUAGGAAAACAGAAACAAAACGAUCCGCCUGACACAUGACCCGGAAGAGGAAAAACGCACUGACUUCAGGAAAACGAAAGGCAUGCAGCGCGCGCACAGGCACCUCUGCUCCGCGGGCUCGGCUCCGCGCUGGGCCAGGAGCAGCACGCUGUCCUGUUUCUCGUGCACGACCGGAACCUGGGGUGGGGAGAUGGGCUCGUAGGGCUCGCUAGAGACGUGACUCCUCUCUGGGGACUUUCCAGGCCUGAUACUGGAACAUACAAAACAUUAGACAGUCUUCCCAGGGCUCACCUGCGGCUUACCCUGAACAGGAACUGGUUACCUCGUUACUUCAGUCAUUUCAAGGACCAAAAGUUGGCAAUACGUAUCAGAAAAAAGUGGCCUCGUAUACUCACUCUGUACCUAGUUAUUUUGAAAAAGUCUGUUACUGUUGCUUCGUCCAGGCACACGGAGUCGCAUGACAGACGGUGCCGGGGACGGGCCGCAGCCCGGGCUCUGUGGGGAGGUCACUGCCCAGCACCGGACCCCUCGUGCCCCUGGCCAGCUACUCCGCUGAGCCCUCCAGGGUCUUGUUGCUGAUCUCGAGCCAGGACCUACCAGGUUAUGUCCCCAUUAAGUUAAAAGACAAAGGACUUGAGCGCCACACUGACACCUGCAAUUUAAUGUUCUUCCUCUGGACACCAUGUUGUAAGGAUGGUGUGAGAUAAACACUGUUUGGGCCCAAAAAAGUUUUUGGUUUAGUAACUGUACAUAUUAAAAGCCCUCUGUGACCUUUAAUAUCUGCUUUUAUUACUAUUAUAGAUAAGUGUAAUUAUAUAUGUAUUACUUGUCAUUUCCUUCCCCAAUCUCACCCCAUCCGAUUCUUAGAGGUGGCCGUUCUUGGCCAUUUUUCUUUCAGUUCUUUGGUGGGCACCUCUAAAUCAUCUAAAUAAUCAAUCUUAUACCUUUCUUGAUGUAUCAGAACUUGAAACAGAAUCUUAUCAGUUUCCUUCCAUGAAAGAUGAAGAGCUUGACUACCUUCUCUAUGUUGUUGCCCAUUUUAUUUUAAUCUGUAGUUUGUCUACUUUAACUAUACACGUAGCAUACUCAGCCAUUUUUAUGUGAUUUACAGCAUUUACAUUCUGUUCUAAACUCUAGAAAAACUCCUCUGUGUUUUGCUCAUUGACUGAAAAAUCAGUUAAUGGUGUUUUACAACACUAUGGAUUUUGUAAACAUUUUAAACUGUAAAACCAGGUAAUCUGACUAAAACCAAUGAAAGAAAUGUAACGUUCCUCAUUCAAAUAUACAGGUGUAGGGCUUCCCUGGUGGCGCAGUGGUUGGGAGUCCGCCUGCCGAUGCAGGGGACACGGAUUCGUGCCCCUGGUCCGGGAAGAUCCCACAUGCCGCGGAGCGGCUGGGCCCGUGAGCCAUGGCCGCUGAGCCUGCGCGUCUGGAGCCUGUGCUCCGCAGCGGGAGAGGCCACAACAGUGAGAGGCCCGCGUUCCGCAAAAAAAAAAAAAAAAUGUACAGGUGUAGUGACGCAGAAAUUACAAGUGAAAAAGUCAAAAGGAUUUUCUUUUCAAAAAUGUCAUUAACUGCUCAAAAUCUAUGUAGUACUUCGUAUCAAGAAUGUACCACGAAUGACUCUGCUAUAGCUUUCUGUUCUUCUUUGAUAACAAGUUCUCUUCUUUGUUUUUUUGGUCUUUGUUAAAAGAGAAUGGGUUUUCAUCUUAUCCUUAAGAUCAUCCCGCUUCUUGAAAUGAUUAUGUCAUUUGAGAUUUGUUUCAAAACAACGCGGUCUGAGGGUAGGGCAAGUGGGGAUGAAAUGAAACAAACUGGUCCUGUGCUGACGAUCUUGAAGGUGGGCGAUGAUGCACGGUGGCAUCUUACUCUGUCCUCUCUACUUCUGUGUGUUCAAAAAGUCCCACAAUAAAGUUGUUUUUU